ACAUAUUAUUAAUACAAUGUAAUAAUAGAAAUAAAGUGCACAAUAAGUGUAAUGCACUUCAAUCAUCCAAAACCAUCCCCCUCUUCUGGUCUGUGGAAAAAUUGCCUUCCACAAAACUGGUCCCUGGUGCCAUAAAAGUUAAGGAUCACUGUGUUAGAGCAUUAUCCAUCUAUUGCCUCUUCAAGAUUGUCUGCCUACUGCAUUGGACUGGCUAUAGCACAGCAGGCAGACACAUGCCUUUUCCAGAGACUCCCACAUUGAUUUUUGAAUGACAGGAACACAUCCAUUAGGCCUGCCUUACAUUGUAAGUGGAUCCACUUGAAGGAGCAGCCAACCCAUGUAUUGUGAUGUAAAUGGUGCUGUUCCGCACUCAGCACUUUCAUCUUCUAAGUGUUUCACAAACACUGGCUAAUUAAUAAUCCUCUUUUCUGUGCUGCCAGGGAGGAGUUGUAAGGAAAGAGCGAUGGGUGGCUUUCCAGAUAAACACAUGUUAAUUUUUUAUCCCAGGCUAAGGGGAAAGAAACAAACAUAUAGAGAUGAACACUUACUGUGUCUGCCACUGUGACAUUCAUUAUUGUAUUUAAACAUCACAACAAUCUUGGCAGGCAAAGACUCUUGGCAUAAAGGUCUUAUCACCAUUUUUACAGAUGGUGAAAUUGCAGCUUGUAAAGUAAUUAUAGUGAGGGAUGGAGAUAGGAUUUGAACUCAUGUCUGUUGGUUUCCAAUGCUCACACUCAUUCUGCUAAUCCACAGUACAAAGAGUGGAAGUUUAGCAUUUCCACUGUAUUAGUCAUUAUCAUUAUUAUCAACAAGUAUUAUUAUUUAUAUUUAAUGACCAUAAUAUUUCAAAUUUAUGUAACCCUAAUCUUUGGGACACUUAGAGUGCUAUGCAACUAUUCUGCUCUUGCUCAGUUCAGAAGUGGUGAUAUUUGGAUUUUGUAUUAAAAGUCAUUUUGGUCUCAUUCUUGUUUUAAGAGCAAUUUUUCAUGGGUUCAAACUCUUGGACUUGUGAAAAUCUGGGAUUGAAAACAAUGUUUGCUUUGUUCUCAAAAGUCAUAGCCAUGACACACCAGAUGUUCUAGUCUCUGAUAAAAAAUUCUUGUUAACUUUUAAUAGAAGAAAAUGGACUGGUGGUUAGGACACAUCUUUACUCUUUUUUUUCUAUUGCUUACAAAGACCUGGGACUGUGGUUUCUCCUGGCUGUACCACUCACUUCCAAGCACUCUGAGUGCUUGGGAGCUAUUUCCUGGGUAUGGGGCCCAUUGUUCUAACCUAAUUUUUACUGUUGGAUCAAAGAAUAUCUGUGGCCAAAUAAUGGUCCUAUUGCUAGUCACUCUUUUGUCCACAAAUGAACUAGAGUGAAACCGUAUCUUGACUGCUUUCCUUUUUAGCACCCAUUAGAUAAGCAAGCGGGGCUGUUGAGAGGAAGAUGUUAACUGACCCCCAAGGCAGGACCAGGUGCUGACAUCCUGCUCUUUCAAAGAUGAUGAACCAGAGAAUGCUGUGUCACUGCUUGUUCCAUGCCCUUGCUGGUACCGGCAAGUGGGAAAGCUGGGAUUCAAAUCCAAGUCUGUGUUUCCAAAAGCCCAUGUUGAAGCUGCUCUUGUUGCUGGAUUUACUGAAUCUCUGUCACAUGAUCCAAUGGAGAAAGUGAAAAGUGUCACUGAGCUGGGCCACAGAGCUGGUUAUCAAGGGUAGUCUGCGAGGUCAGAGGUGGAACAGGAAAGGAACUUCCAGGUUCUGAGCCUGUUGAUUUACCAGGGCAUCGUUGAUUACAAAUCAAGCUUUUUAUCUCCCCUUCACUUCUUUGGUGAGUGCAUUUUUUUUUUUUUUUUUAAUUAGCUCAUCUUCCUUUGGUGCUCACUGCUCAUGUCUGAUGCUCAUUGCAAAUGAAUGCUGAUUACUGGAAUAGAAGACUUCAUUUAGUUCCUUAAUUCCCACUCUUCUUUUCUGAGGUGGA